GACGUAGGGUCCAAGCGUUGUCCGGAUUUACUGGGCGUAAAGAGCGCGUAGGCGGCUCGUUAAGUGUAGAGUGAAAUCUCUGGGCUCACCCCAGAAACUGCUCUGCAUACUGGCGAGCUGGAGGGAUGGAGAGGCUUGUGGAAUUCCUGGUGUAGCGGUGAAAUGCGUUGAUAUCAGGAGGAACACCCAUGGCGAAGGCAGCAAGCUGGCCAUCACCCUGACGCUGAGGCGCGAAAGCCAGGGGAGCAAACGGG
rnacentral:rRNA from 1 species